ACGGAAGGCAGCAGUGGGGAAUAUUGCACAAUGGGGGAAACCCUGAUGCAGCGACGCCGCGUGAGUGAAGAAGUAUUUCGGUAUGUAAAGCUCUAUCAGCAGGAAAGAAAAUGACGGUACCUGACUAAGAAGCCCCGGCUAACUACGUGCCAGCAGCCGCGGUAAUACGUAGGGGGCAAGCGUUAUCCGGAUUUACUGGGUGUAAAGGGAGCGUAGACGGCUUUGCAAGUCUGAAGUGAAAGCCCGGGGCUCAACCCCGGAACUGCUUUGGAAACUGCAGAGCUAGAGUGCAGGAGAGGUAAGUGGAAUUCCUAGUGUAGCGGUGAAAUGCGUAGAUAUUAGGAGGAACACCAGUGGCGAAGGCGGCUUACUGGACUGUAACUGACGUUGAGGCUCGAAGGCGUGGGGAGCAAACAGGAUUAGAUACCCUGGUA
rnacentral:rRNA from 1 species